GUUCCUCCUUCCGGUGAUGUUUGGAAAGUGAAACUCAUCUUUGGCUCUCACAUGCACGAGCGGCACGGGAGCGCGCACAGACUGUUGCAGCAGAAAGUGAUCCUCUGAUAGAAGGUGUGCACCACCUGCAGGACGGCUGCCAGGCGGCGGUCCAGAGCAGACAGGUGAGCUUCUGACAGGAGAGGAGCAGCAUCUGCCAGAGGAUCCCGAGCCAACGAUUCCCGCAUGACGUCGCUCAGACGGAAGUCAGGGAGGGCCAGGAGACGCAGCCGGAGGAGGGUGGAGCGCCGGAUCCUGUAGAGGUCGGUGGACAGGAGGGAAGGCAACGGGUUUAAUUAAAAAAAUAAUAACAGAAAGACAUGAGACACCACAUUUCUGUCUGGGUUCUUUAGGUAUACAGUGACUAUAAAAGUGUUCACUCCCGUGGAUGUUUCACCGUUUUGUUGUUUCCAUACAUUAAGUCAUGGUCAGUAUAAUUUUGCUUUUUUGACAAGAAUUUGCAAAAAAAAAAAAAAACAACUUUAAUAUCAAAGCAGGAC